CUCUGUGAAACAAGAUACAGGCUAGCGGCGGACGGGUGAGUAACACGUGGGUAACCUGCCCAAGAGAUCGGGAUAACACCUGGAAACAGAUGCUAAUACCGGAUAACAACAGAUGAUGCCUAUCAACUGUUUAAAAGAUGGUUCUGCUAUCACUCUUGGAUGGACCUGCGGUGCAUUAGCUAGUUGGUAGGGUAACGGCCUACCAAGGCGAUGAUGCAUAGUCGAGUUGAGAGACUGAUCGGCCACAUUGGGACUGAGACACGGCCCAAACUCCUACGGGAGGCAGCAGUAGGGAAUCUUCCACAAUGGACGCAAGUCUGAUGGAGCAACGCCGCGUGAGUGAAGAAGGGUUUCGGCUCGUAAAGCUCUGUUGUUGGUGAAGGAGGACAGGGGUAGUAACUGACCUUUGUUUGACGGUAAUCAAUUAGAAAGUCACGGCUAACUACGUGCCAGCAGCCGCGGUAAUACGUAGGUGGCAAGCGUUGUCCGGAUUUAUUGGGCGUAAAGCGAGUGCAGGCGGUUCGAUAAGUCUGAUGUGAAAGCCUUCGGCUCAACCGGAGAAUUGCAUCAGAAACUGUCGAGCUUGAGUACAGAAGAGGAGAGUGGAACUCCAUGUGUAGCGGUGAAAUGCGUAGAUAUAUGGAAGAACACCGGUGGCGAAGGCGGCUCUCUGGUCUGUUACUGACGCUGAGGCUCGAAAGCAUGGGUAGCGAACAGGAUUAGAUACCCUGGUAGUCCAUGCCGUANACGAUGAGUGCUAAGUGUUGGGAGGUUUCCGCCUCUCAGUGCUGCAGCU
rnacentral:rRNA from 1 species